rnacentral:rRNA from 1 species
AUUGAACGCUGGCGGCACGCCUAACACAUGCAAGUCGAGCGGUAGCAUGAGUAGUAGCAAUACUACUUGAUGACGAGCGGCGGACGGGUGAGGAACACGUAGGAACUUGCCCCUUAAGAGGGGGACAACCAAGGGAAACUUUGGCUAAUACCGCAUAAACUCGAGAGAGUAAAGCUGCCCGCGAGGGUGGCGCUUAAGGAGGGGCCUGCGUCCGAUUAGCUAGUUGGUGGGGUAAAAGCCCACCAAGGCGAUGAUCGGUAACUGGUCUGA